rnacentral:lncRNA from 1 species
AUGGCCGGCCUCGACACCGACACGUCCACGUCCACCACGUCGAAUAUCCAUGGCUCCAUGUCCCAUGCAAGCAGACGCGCGCGGCGGUGGCGCUGUACAUGCCGCAGAAGUGCAAACUGCAAAGGCAAGAGCAAGUUCGUCCUGGAGCACCAGGCCAUGUGGGAGAAGGAAGGGAGGAACAAAGGCUACGACACCACCCACCUCGGCUGCGACGGACGGGGUCUUGCCGUCUUGGUAUGCCUCACGGACGACGAGCUGAAAGUCCAAGACAAGGUGUACUAUGAUGGGUUGUUGGAGAGCAGGUGGGCAGAGGACACUGGCUCAUCCUAUGCUCCAAGGACGGCGGCGGUGGCGAGCUCCGUCACUGGACGGCGGCAUGACCAACGUGGACAGAGGCACGAUGGCGGUGAUGAGGAGCACAGCGGCGGUAAGGUGCCACAGGGCCAGGACAGUGGCAAAGCUAGGAUUUGAGGUUAGGGGG